AUCAGCUGGGUGAAGACAAUGCCCGCCACCCGAAUCCGACAUACAAGCCACCCACCACAAACUCGAGUCAGGAAUCCUGAGUUGCUUGUAUCAUGCACAGUCAGUACAGUAUCAUACUUUGUCUAGUCUGGAAGAGUACAAGGGUGGGACCAACUUAGCCAUGCGACCUGAGCACUCUCUCGUGCGUAUUAGCAAGUCUUGCAAGACUAGACCAAUGGUAGACCAGCCCCUGUGGUUACCUGUCUGACGCCCCAAGUGUCGCGUCUAGUCUGCCAGCCGUCUGAGGUGACAGACUCACCUCGCGACUCCCCCUGCAGUAUCAAACGACAUCACGGCCGAGUUCUUUGUACUUUUGAUAAGCCGGAUCUUACCCAAGACUACAGGAUCUUAUUGGUGCCAUCAAGCCCGGAUCAACUGCAGCUGCAAUGUUCAUGAUAAAUUCGAAUAAAUGGUACCCAGGCUACGAUCAAAGCAGAUUCUUCAACAAAUAAACUAAACUAGUAAGACAUGGCCUACUUUCGUAAAAUCAAGUCGAUAGAUAUCUUCUCUUGAGGGUGGAUGAUAUUGAUUUUAUAUAACUAAGAGGCAAGAUGUUACGAUUAGACAAACAACAUGUCAUGCCAUUUUGCAGAGCGGCACAAUAAAAUCACCUCUUCAGGUGAUCUGUCAUCGUCUACACCAGACACUAAUAGUGACAGUGAGAUCGUGUGGCGGCGCUUUGGGUUCAGGCCCAAGAGGUUCCGAGUUCGAAACCUGCCAUGUUACCGAUCUUGUGCCCUUGGGAAAGGCACUUUACACGACUUUCCUCACUUCACUCGGGUGAAAAAUGAGUGCCUAGCUUCGGCUAGGGUCGUUCCUCGGUUAGAAGUUAAAUGGAGGUUCCGGGAGAGUAUCGAAAAGAGCAGGGGUCCUUCCCGGUGUGAGUAGUUCAAACAUUACGGCCUGGUCUCCGGGCUGACAUCUUGCAAAGGUGAUAGUCACCUGUUAUGUCAAUCCUUCUACAAAUGUGGCAAAACUGAAUAAAGAAAUAGACAGUCAGAAAACGUGAUACCGAGAAUAUGUGUCCAGAAUGCUGUACGGUGUCAUGUUACAAAAUCUGGUGAUAACUGUUAUGCUUCGUUUCUCUUAUCCAUUGCUUAUAUCAUGUCAUAAUAAAGUAUUCUCCCUAGCAGCUACGAUGUAGCAGCUUUGGAAGAUCUGGAAUACGGUCUGAUUCCAGGUCCAGAAAGUUGGAAACGUUGUAACUUAUAUCCUACAUUGAUUGUUUUCCUCGAUAUAUCUAAAAUACAGCAGAAUAAGUAUGACUAUGCCCUUAUUACAAUUCCCUUGGGAUAGAUAUUCAUUUAAAUGACAUGCAGUAAAAGUACAGGAACAUCCGUAAUGUCUUUUUUCAAUUGUAGAUGCGAUCAAAUAUAAUGGUUUUAUAUACCAUAGUAAUUACAAGGCAUAUAAAUAGCGUAGCUAGCCUUUACGAGCGAGACCUGAAUAAGUCCACUUAUGAGAAAAAUUAUAGAGGGAUGUGGGUAAAAAUGGCUGCAGUUUCCUCUAUGUACAGGCGACAAUUUCUAAUUAAGGUUAACACUUUUGUACCAUUUGCGGUCAAUAAUGCGCGGCCCCGGCACAUCUGACAUAGUUUACACAUGGUGAUUUCUGGACGUAAAUUUACUCUCUUGGGAUUCUAAAAAGCUUGUACGUUUCUUGUGAUUGAGUUGGUCAUUAGAU